rnacentral:rRNA from 1 species
UACAGAGGUCCCAAGCGUUGUUCGGAUUCACUCGGCGUAAAGCGUGCGUAGGCGGAUACCUAAGUCGAAUGUGAAAUCCCCGGGCUUAACCUGGGAACUGCAUCCGAUACUGGGUAUCUGGAGUAUGGUAGAGGAAAGUGGAAUUCCCGGUGUAGCGGUGAAAUGCGCAGAUAUCAGGAGGAACACCGGUGGCGAAGGCGGGUCUCUGGGCCGAUACUGACGCUGAGGAGCGAAAGCGUGGGGAGCGAACAGG